rnacentral:lncRNA from 1 species
CAUAUUAGGCAAUCCAAACCACGUGACCUCUGGUUGGCACACAAACUAACGAAGAGGUUAUGUUUGUAUCUAUUUUUCAAUGAUUUUUCAUUGUUUAUCGUCGUAUUUUGUCUAUUUUGGAUUCAUUUGUAUUUCGUUUCCUGUUUUUGUGAACGUUAUAAACUUUACCACAAUGCAAACUGAUUAUUUAAGGAAAUUAUUAUUGGAAACUCCAGAUGUUGCGAGAAAGGUAGGCGAAACAAUGUUUAUUUACUGUUCAUUUUGCCCCGAUAUUUAUCAAUAAUGAUGAAUUUUGCAAGCAAUAACAUUAUUUCUUUUAUUGUUUUAGAUAUUUAUUGAAGCUGAAAAUAAUUGGGGAUUUAGAUCCAUACGGAAUUCAGCCAGAAUUGGAUUUUACAGUAAAGUGCAGUCCAUCAAGUUACUAUUAUAGAUAUUUAUACAGAUCUGGUGGAGUCUCACAGUUGCUACUCUAAGCAGCAGAUGAAAGCAUACAAAAGCCUUCAGGCACAUAAAUAUUUUACAGCUGGAUUUGUUUUGAAUGGAGUAAAAAUUGUUAAUGAUUUCCUGAUUUCCAUAUUAUUGUUGGAAAGGUGAAGCAUUUCCAAAAAGCUAAUGCUAAACGACUAAAUGCUUGGGUGGGGUGAUAGCCAGUUCUGAUGACAUGGCAAAUGCACAUUGUAUGCGUAUGGCCGGUAAUAGUGAAGUCUGCAGCCAUAUUGCAGCAAUCCUAUUUUUAGCUGAGUAUGCCCAGAGCAAGACAGACGAAGAAGAACCCAAUGCAUGUACAUAUGUUACAGCUACAUGGUUUGGAGAUAGCAACAUAUGCAUUCUCUGAUGAAAAACUAAUGAGUUUUGAAACUGUGCGGUCAGAGUGCUUGUUGCGCUCACUAAACGAACUGAAAUAUAAGAUGGCUUUGGCAUUGUGUUGCAGCGAUAUGAAAAUGGUUAUUCAUUUUUAAUUAUAAUGUACUUCUUCAUCAUGAGUAAUUAUGUAUUGGUCUUUUAGAUGUGUAUUUAUUUUUGUAAUUAGUAUCAACUUGUAAUGAUAAUAUACAUUUAUCGUUUAAGGUA